rnacentral:rRNA from 1 species
UACAGAGGUCCCGAGCGUUGUUCGGAUUCACUGGGCGUAAAGGGUGCGUAGGUGGUGAGGUAAGUCGGAUGUGAAAGCUCCAAGCUCAACUUGGAAACGGCAUUGGAAACUACCUUGCUAGAGGGUUUGAGGGGGGACUGGAAUACUUGGUGUAGCAGUGAAAUGCGUAGAUAUCAAGUGGAACACCAGUGGCGAAGGCGAGUCCCUGGAAAACUCCUGACACUGAGGCACGAAAGCUAGGGGAACAAACAGG